rnacentral:pre_miRNA from 1 species
GGUGUUGAUUGUCCAAACGCAAUUCUUGUGUUACAUCUCCAUAUCCAGGAGUUGUGGAUGGACAUCAUGCACC